rnacentral:rRNA from 1 species
UACGUAGGGUGCGAGCGUUAAUCGGAAUUACUGGGCGUAAAGCGUGCGCAGGCGGUUUUGUAAGCCAGAUGUGAAAUCCCCCGGGCUCAACCUGGGAAUUGCAGUCGAGACUGUCAGACUAGAGUGUGGGAGAGGGUGGUGGAAUUCCCGGUGUAGCGGUGAAAUGCGUAGAUAUCGGGAGGAACAUCAGUGGCGAAGGCGACCGCCUGGCCCAACACUGACGCUGAGGUGCGGAAAGCGUGGGGAGCAAACAGG